UACAACUCUCUUUACUGAGCGAGACUCCAUCCAUAUCCCUACUAGUUGUUUUUCUUUCAUUCAAUCAUCACUUGUUUGACAGCUUAAAUUAGGCUCCACAUUAGAGAUAGGUUUUUGGUCUUAAUCAAAAUAGGUCAAGGGCACGUCGGAACGGUCGGUAGCUACUUGGUCUCAUCCGAGAGUUUUAUCUCUUUACUCCUUACUGCUUUUUUCAAAGAAAAAACAGGGGGGUCGAUUUAGGCUCCUUCCCUUCCACUGCGUAGCCGCGCUAGCAGGUACUACGAGCCCUCUGUCCCACGCAUCUAACCAGCUCGCGUGGUUCACCGGUUCCACCGAAAACUCUCAUUUGUUGAAGCGGAGCAUAGUGCGCUUUAGGCGCUGAGCGAGAAAGGUCUCUUCUUUCCUUUCGUGGUUCACCGGUUCCACCAAAAAUCUCAUUUGUUGAAGUGGAGCAUAGUUCGCUUUUGGCGCUCAGCGAGAAAGGUCUCUUCUUUCCUUUCGGUUUAUUCACUGAUCUGAAACUUAGCACUUGUUUUCUUAUUGAUUCCCGGGGCGGUGGCAUUCUUGAAUGAAGUCUAUCCGAACCGAAUUAGCACUUCUCAGAUCAGGCUAGGCCUCUCCAGCUGAGCUGGGCGCCGGGGCCCUGGAUGCGCUAGCGAUUGGCACAUAGGGGAAUGGUUGCCCGGGUUUCUCGGCCUGGUAUCCUGCACCUCGCGUUCAUGAU
rnacentral:lncRNA from 1 species